UUUCUUGCAGGGGUGGUGGCGGAGGUGGUGGGUGGGUGCUUUGCAAACCCUGCGCUUCCCACUGGGAGAGGGGGAGCACGCUGUUGGGGGUGGGGUGGGGUGCGAGGGGCCAGGUUCCCUGCUGGGGAGAGGGGCUUGCAUCUGGGGAGUAUGUUUCCUGGCGGAGCGAUAUUUGUUUACUGGCUGAGGGCAGUACUGGGAGUGAGUAGCUCUGCCAGAAGGCGGCUGACAUAAAUUAAUAUUGAAAUUACUCCAUCAGCCCCACCGGCCCCCUGUCGCACCCCCCAAGCGGAGACUGGGCUUCCUGUCUUUUUGCCAUGCACUUGUUGCAGAAGCAGCCAAGGUCUCCUCUUCCCACCUGACAGCAGCAUGACAGCAGCAUGACCCGGCGGCCACAGGAGAAGUCCCCAGAAGCAGGCCCCCUGCUCAGCCACCUGCUGCCCCAGUCUGGGUGUGUGCAGCCUCUUCUCACUGUGGUGGCAUUUGGUCUGGACCUCAGCGUGGGUGAGGAUGUAAAACCCCCCGCUCUGCACAUGCGUGGUCCAGGCCAGCAGGAACCCCCAGCCCCGGCCACCCUCACGCACAUGUCAGCCGUGGAGUAGUGUGGACAUCUCCUCUCAGCUUCUCAGGGUUUCAGUCUUUGGCUUUUCUUCAUUUACUUUGUUUUAUGGUUUUGUGGCUGGACAUUGACAACCAAGUCAGGCACCAUGGGGGAUCAGCAGUUGUACAAGAGCAACCAUGUGACCCACGGUGGUGAGAACCUUUUCUACCAACAGCCACCCCUUGGUGUCCACGGUGGGCUGAACCACAACUAUGGGAAUUCAGUCGCAGCGGGUGGAAUGGAUGCCCCUCAAGCUUCGCCCAUCUCCCCCCACUUUCCUCAAGAUACUCGGGAUGGUCUGAGCUUGCCUGUUAGCUCCAAAAACCUUGGCCAAAUAGAUACCUCGAGACAGGGAGGAUGGGGAGGCCACGCAGGACCUGGUAACCAUGUCCAGCUCCGUGGCAACCUGACCAACUCCAACAUGAUGUGGGGGGCGCCGGCCCAGGUGGAGCCAGCUGAUGGCUAUCAGUACACCUACUCCCAGGCCAGUGAGAUCCGGACCCAGAAGCUCACCAGCGGCGUGUUACACAAGCUGGACUCCUUCACCCAGGUGUUUGCCAACCAAAACCUGCGAAUCCAGGUCAACAACAUGGCCCAGGUGCUGCACACCCAGUCGGCAGUGAUGGAUGGAGCCCCUGACAGUGCCCUCCGCCAGCUGCUGUCUCAGAAGCCCAUGGAGCCCCCAGCAGCUGCUCUGCCCUCCCGCUACCAGCAGGUGCCCCAGCAGCCUCACCCUGGUUUCACAGGUGAGCUGUCCAAGCCGGCCCUGCAGGUCGGGCAGCACCCUGCCCAAGGGCACCUGUAUUAUGACUACCAGCAGCCCCUGGGCCAGAUGCCGAUGCAGGGAGGACAGCCGCUGCAGGGCCCCUCGGUGCUGUCCCAGCCCGUGCCACAGAUGCAGCACCAGUAUUAUCCACAGCAGCCACAGCAGCAAGCGGGACAGCAGCGUCUCUCCAUGCAGGAAAUGCAGCCGCAGCCUCCGCAGCAGCUCACCCGCCCGCCUCAGCCUCAGCCUCAGCAGCUGCCGCGGCAAGGUCCAAUGCAGAUACCUCAGUAUUAUCAGCCCCAGCCUAUGAUGCAACACUUGCAAGAGCAGCAGCAGCCAUCGGUGCACCUGCAGCCCCCAUCUUAUCACAGGGACCCCUACCAGUACACCCCGGAGCAGGCACACGCAGUCCAGCUGAUUCAGCUGGGCUCCAUGGCCCCCUACUACUACCAGGAGCCCCAACAGCCCUACAGCCAUCCCCUCUACCAGCAGAGCCACCUGGCCCAGCACCAGCCGCGUGAAGACAGUCAGCUGAAGACUUACUCCAGCGACAGGCAGGCCCCAGCCCUGCUGAGCUCCCACGGGGACCUGGCACCUCCUGAUACCGGAAUGGGAGACUCGGCCAGCUCGGACCUGACCCGGGUAGGCAGUGCCCUCCCCCACCGCCCUCUCCUGUCCCCCACGAGUGGGAUCCAUCUCAACAACACGGACCCUCAGCAUCCACAGCCGUCUCCCAGUGCCAUCUGGCCUCAGAUGCACCUACCUGAUGGGAGAGCCCAGCCAGGGUCCCCUGAGUCAAGUGGCCAACCCAAAGGAGUGUUUGGGGAGCAGUUCGAUGCCAAGAACAAGCUGACAUGCCCCAUCUGCCUGAAGGAGUUCAAGAGCCUGCCCGCCCUCAAUGGCCACAUGCGGUCCCACGGGGGAAUGAGGGCCUCCCCCAGCCUCAAACAGGAGGAAGGAGAGAAGGCCCCGCCGCCUCAGCCCCAGCCUCAGCCCCAGCAGCCACUGCCGCCUCCACCUCCGCCUCCGCCGCAGCUCCCUCCCGAGGCAGAAAGCCUCACACCUAUGGUCAUGCCCGUGUCUGUCCCUGUCAAGCUUCUCCCGCCCAAGCCCAGCUCUCAGGGGUUCGCCAACAGCAUCGCUGCCGCCCCCUCCGCCAGAGACAAGCCGGCCAGCUCUGCAUCGGAUGACGAGAUGCCUGUGCUCGUGAGGAUGACCCUCUCUCCCCCACACUCUCCCCAAGGGGCUGCCCCCCGCGCUCCCGCUGUGAGUCGCUGCUCUGCCCCCCUGCCUGGGGCGGGGACAUCCCUUUGCUUUCUCAGAGAUAGGGACAGUUCUUCCAGGGUCACUGGCCAGAGCUCAGCCAUGGCCCAGCCCCCUUGGCCACCUGUCCACUGCCUGCUGCAUUCUGGUUACUCUUGCAGGCUGAUGGCUUGGCUUGGAUUCUGGACACCUCGUGGUGUCCCCAGGUUAGGACAGAGGAUGGCUCAGCCAGCUGUCACUGAUUCAGCCAUACCAGUGAUUCAGAUGCGGAAGUACUUCUGCUCCGGACAUGAACAGCCAUUGCCCAGGGUUCCCUAGGACCUCCAGGCCCCUUCAAACAUGGCCAUCAAACAGGUCACCCCGGCAAAGUGAUGUUUAUCACUCAUUGUUAAAUUCUUCUUCCUUGCCUGACUGCCCAUCUCACCCCACUCUGCCCUUCCCCGGGGAACCUGUGCCUGCAUGGUGGGCUGUAUCAGACUCAUCCCACCCCACAGCCUCCCGUUUCGAUCUUGUUUGUCCUUAGAGAAGAGGCGGCGUAAGGGAAAGUGUGGGCCAGAAGAGGCCAGGGAGGAUGAUUAAGAGAACCAGAAAAGUCAGGAAGAACCAUUUUGGUUCCUGUUGCUAUCAAGGACUCAGAAAAGGAGAGACUGAUGGGAACCUGGAGAGGAAGAGUCUCACGAGCUGGCAGGAGACCAGUGACAGACAGAGAGGAGCCCACAUGCCCAGGUCCCCCUCGGCCCAGGGUGGCGCCUGAUGUCCUAGGAGGAACAGUGUCUGCCCCGGGAGAACUCUCAAUCAGAGUUCCUAGUCAUGCAGGGCCACAGCCCAGGCAGCACACACCCCGCCCCAGACACUCAGGGUGGUAAGAGAAAGAUGAGAGCAGAGGAAAGAGAGAGGAGAGGAUCUAGAAAGAACCCUUGAAUUCUAGCCUCAGCUGUGCCCCUAGCCAGGUGGGACGAAGACAGCUGAGAUGCUCCCCCCUCCAGCCUCCCUUUCCUCCCUUUCCCUGAGGCCUGGACUCCUCUGUGGUGGGAGCUGUAAAGGGCUCGACUCCUGGCCCGGCCCCAGAGUCUAGCUGCCCCCUGGGGAGACCCUAUGAUGGCACCUGUCCCGUGGACAUUCGGAGUGCUGUCUGCCCAGGUAGCUCACAGCCUCACCAGCAGGAUCAGGCAAUCUUGUGAGGAGCUGGAGGAACAGGACUCAAGGGCACAGGAGGGAGAGCCCAGAGGGGCUGUGGCCCCUGGGCUUAGCAGUCAAGUUUGCAGGACACAGGAUCCUGUGAGGCACCUGUGCCUGGAUGGCCAUCAGGGACCUGGAGCAGCUUAACUUUAAGGGCUGCACCCUACAGGGCAUUGCCUCCUUCCCCCACCUCGGCUUCUCCCCCACCUCGGCCUCUCUUCCCCACCUCGGCCUCUCUUCCCCACCUCGGCCUCUCCCACUUCAGCCUCUCUUCCCCACUUCGGCCUCUCCCACCUCUGCCUCUCUCUCCACCACAAGGGCCCUGAGCUGCGGGCCUCAGGUGGGCGUCACGUGGGUAUGUGUGCUGUCACGUGGCCGCCCUUCCCGUCGACCCCCGCGAGGCCCCUGGCUGAGCAGCACACUGACCCAGUGUCCCGUGGCCUCAGCAGCGCCCCUGCGUGUCUUGGUGUCUGUCACGCGCGAGGCAGGUGUCACCAGACCAAGUGGUGACAGGGAGGCAACCGAGAGGUGCGGGCCCACACUAGGAUCCCUGUGCCUUUCCAAGGGCGCGGGUCCCCUCAGCGGGGCUCCUGUCACUCAGGUGUGGCGACAGUAGAGGAACCCAAAGCCGCGCCCCAAACCCGGGCGGGGCGGGGGGCGGCUCUGUUCCCACCCGAACCCUGGGGACAGCGGCCCCGUGGAACCCGCACUCUCCCCACAGGACGCGCCCCGGAGGCCGCCGCGCGCCGAAGAGCCCCGCGCCACUGAGAGGAGGAAGCCGCGGCCCCGGCCCGAGCCGCUCUUCAUCCCGCCGCCGCCCGCCUGCGCCCCAGGGCCCGUUGUGGGUGCCACCGCCACGCUCUUCCAGAGCCAGCUGCGCUCGCCACGCGUCCUCGGGGACCCGCUGCUCCUGGCCCCCGCGCGCGACCGCGAGCCCCCGCCCUACACACCGCCGCCCAUGCUGAGCCCGGCGCGCCAGGGCUCGGGGCUCUUCAGCAGCGUGCUCCUGGGUGGCCACCUGGGCGGCCCGGGGGCGCCCCCGGCCCUGCCGCGCACCCCGCUCACGCCCACGCCGCGCGUGCUGCUCUGCCGCCUCAGUGAGUGGCCAGGACGCGGGGGGGUGGGAGGUUCCCAGCCACCCACCGGCAGGCUGGCUUUCGUCGGGUAUCUAGGGGUAGCAGGUGCAGACCGCUGCGCAGAAACAGAGCUGGUUCUCAGCCUUAAGGAAUCCCAGGGACAGGGUGGAGCCUGCUCUCGAUAUCUAAAAUAUCUAAGAUGCGUUGGUAACACUCCCAAGAAAUGCAUUUAGAGGGCCGGGGAUUUAGCUCAGUGGCACGGCGCCUGCCUGGAAAGCAAAAGAUCCUGAGUUUGAGCCCCGGUACUGAAAAAAAAAGAAAUGCCGGGGUAUAUUCAGGCCUUGACGUUUUAGCGUGCUUCCUAAAAAUCCAGCAUGAAACUUGGGCCUGGUGGUGCUGAAGUCUUGUACUUCCAGCUCUCAGGAGGUUGAGGCAGGAGGAUCUCGAGUGUGAUCAGCUUAUUCAGACCCUAUUUCCAAUUUUUCUUUAAAAUAAUAAAAAUAAAAGAGCUGGAGAUGGAGCUCAAUGUAAAGUCCCUGGGUUCAGUCCCCAGCACUGCCAAAAAUAAAAUAAAA
rnacentral:lncRNA from 1 species